ensembl:lncRNA
CUGAAUAUAUGUUUCAUUUUCUCUGAAAUCUGUACAUAUUGGCGCAUGCAGCCAAGUGAUGAGGUGGCACAGCGACCUUAUUUGGGGAGAACCCUGGAGUAGGGACCAUAUCUUGGUUUUAAACGCUUUAAAUGCAUUUCCGAUUUUUGCUGUAUGGGACUAUCGGGAUAAAUAUGAAUCCCUACUGUACUCUGACUCUUGUCCGUUUUAUAUAUGUGCAUUUCAGAUGUAGCGUGAGAUGUAGCUUAAUGUAUAAGUAUCUAUGCUGCUAACACAUUUGGAAAGUGAUUCCUUGAAUCUUGAGACUACUAACACACUCUUUAAGUGCUGCAACAUAUUGUGCACAUAGAGCAGUGAUUUGAGGAGCACCUUGGAGGAAAGGAAAUUGCAAUUCCACGAACAAUGCCACAGCCAGGAGUAAUUCAACUUCAACAGCAGACAAGGACAUUAAGGAGAAGCCACACCUACCUGAACAAAAUGCAACAACAAGAAAUGCUAACCUGUCAUUAUGGUUCAAAUGCACUGUACAUUUCUCUCUGAGGUAUGCACUGUACAUUUCUCUCAGAGGUAUGCACUGUACAUUUCUCUGAGGUAUGCACUGUACAUUUCUCUGAUGUAUGUACUGUACAUUUCUCUCCGAGGUAUGUACUGUACAUUUCUCUCCGAUGUAUGUACUGUACAUUUCUCUCCGAGGUAUGCACUGUACAUUUCUCUCUGAGGUAAGAGGUACCCUAUCUUCCUGCACUGCAGAUUGUAAAUGGGAAAAUUGUAAACAUAGACAAAUGUGAGUUACGUUCUGUGGUGAAGGUUUCUCUCUUCUAUGGCACAGUACAUCUUAAAACAUGCUCUUUCCUUGAAGGGUGUUAAAAAAAUGUAUUUUUCCCAUGUGCUUUUAUAUCAAUAGUAGGCUUGUAUGCUUCCCUUUACCCUUUUUCUGUCCACCUACCUACAAUACACAAACCUCUACCAACUGCUCACACAAUGGCUGUUUGAAUGACCCAACCCUAAGAUAAUAAUAAUAACAUGAUCACUUGUGAGCCUCUCAGGUGAAGGCACUCAAUGCUCUUUGCAAAGCACUUGAUGGUACUUACUAUAACUCACUUGGCUCCCUCUACUGCUUUCAGGCUAGUAGAGAGCACUGUUUUAUACACCAACGCAAAGGCUUUCUCCUGCCCUGCAGACAAGGUCAAACACAUUGGUUCAUUUAUGUGACACAAUAAUGGUUUUAAAGGGAGUUACUUGAUGUAACUGUAACUAGUCUUGUUAUGUGUGUG